rnacentral:rRNA from 1 species
UACGAAGGGUGCAAGCGUUACUCGGAAUUACUGGGCGUAAAGCGUGCGUAGGUGGUUUGUUAAGUCUGAUGUGAAAGCCCUGGGCUCAACCUGGGAAUCGCAUUGGAUACUGGCAGGCUAGAGUGCGGUAGAGGAUGGCGGAAUUCCCGGUGUAGCAGUGAAAUGCGUAGAGAUCGGGAGGAACAUCUGUGGCGAAGGCGGCCAUCUGGACCAGCACUGACACUGAGGCACGAAAGCGUGGGGAGCAAACAGG